UUUGAUAGCCACGUUCCUCUAAUCGGCGACGUGUGUCCGUCAUCAGCAGAGCAUGGCCAUUGUGGACUGGGUUUCUCAGCUGAAAGGCGAACACGGCGUCUGGAGAAUAGUGGGAUGUGAGGCGGUAUUGAUCCAGCCCAUCGUCCCAUCUGAUUCCCUCAAACACCUCCAGCUGACCCCCUACCAACCAAUCGCCGCUUUCCAUUACCAUCUGGUAACAGGAGGUUGUUGAAGUGCAGAACCUGUAGGUAUUCUCUCUCUGUCAUGAAGCCUUUAAGAGGACUAGCCCACCCUUCAGCCAACACCUGCACCCACUGCAAGUCCAACUACACACAAGAAAAUACAGAAAGCUGUGUUUAUUAACCGAACAGCUAUUAUUGCAUUCAUUAUACUCUAUUAGAAAGGGUUAUCAAUGGCCAAAUUCUAAGUUUAUAAUAUCUCAAAAUAAUAAUUGCGAUGACAUUAGCUUUUCAGGACAGUAUUCGUAUUCUUGGGAGUCUUUGGAAUAAAUUUGCAUUGUAAUUAGGAAAAACAGCAGCAGCACACUGUUCACAGUCUGAUAUUCCAGUUAGGUAUCAUCUUGGUCUAAUUAUUCUUUCAUAUUAAUGAACAUAAUGUUAAUGAACAAGAUAUUGAACUGGUUCCUGGCAGU